UUUUAUUAACCAAAAAAACAGAAAUAUACAAUAAUAAACAUUAAUUUACAUAAUAAUACACAGAAAUAAAACAUGCCAGAGUGUACAAACCUAUUGUCUUCAGUCCAUCCUAUGCGUUUAUAAAUCACUGACGUCACAAUGGCGGAAGGACAUGACGGAUUUCAGACAGGCGGGAAUAUAAAGAGUGCUUGACUCAGAUUAAAUAAUAUUAUCACAUACACAACACCCGAGUGCCUGAAUCACAAUCGAACUAGGAUUUUUUUCAUGUAAUAACAUUAUUUAGAGCUUGUUUUUUUUAAUGAUUUUCUUUUAUGUCCAUUGAGUGUAUACAAACAAGGUUAGGUCCAAUGUAGAGGAUGCCAAAAAAAAAAUGCACGAUUGAAUAUGAAUAGGCACAAAUAUUAUAUAUGUAUUUUUUAAAUAACCAAUACGUUUGUAGGUUUCAGGAUUUUGUUUAAAGAUGAAUCUGGAAAACUGAUCAUUGUUCAUGCGUUGCUUAACGCGGUGUGCACUGUUUUAUACAGCACAGAUUUUUGUCCAAAUUAAUAAAUCAUCCUAGUAUUGCAUGCAGUCUGUGAAUUCGCAUGCUUUGCACUGUUGCAUAAUGUGCCAAUAGUGUGCUGUAAUUACAACGUCCCGCCAGCAGGGCUGCAGUGUCUGUUUAUCUGUGCACUGAGGGGUUCUGGGUAAAUGUGGAUCUCUGUAUUGUUUUGGACAGGAGCUGAGACUUAGGUCUCUGCAGAGCAAAAGUGGGCGUUUAUCACCAUGUGGGUGGUUUAAAACUGCUGGGUGUUUCUGAAUCAUGCAAUCUAAAUGAUCCCCCUUACUCAACCCCACCCCUAAACCUAACGUCACUAUUACAUCAACCAAUCAGGUAUCAUUUUGUAAAAACACCUUGAUCUUGUAACUCCCAUUACUUUCCUGCAGAGACCUAUACUUGGAGGAGCUGGAGCAUCAGUUCUCUCCCAACCGCUGGUCACACAGGAUAUCCACCGAUGACGUCAUCAGAGCCCAUGUGGCCACUCCUAAAACGGGGGAUCUGGAUGUGAUGGUGUCUGUCAUCCAGCAGUAUUCACACAUCAGGUGAGGUCGGUCUGUCUCAGGUGAGAAGGCUGAUGGGAUACCAGAAGCUGGUCGCUUGUACACUAUGUCUCGUAACUUUGAACGCUCCUCUGGUUUCAGUUGUGUUUUAUUUAUUUUGGUGACGUAUAAAUAAAGUCUUCCCAUCUGCCUGCA